CACGGAGUUAGCCGAUCCUUAUUCUCACAGUACCGUCAAGCUCCGACACGUCGGAGUGUUUCUUCCUGUGCAAAAGCAGUUUACAAUCCAUAGGACCGUCAUCCUGCACGCGGCAUGGCUGGUUCAGGCUUGCGCCCAUUGACCAAUAUUCCUCA
rnacentral:rRNA from 1 species